CUGGGUGGAAUUCGGGGAAUUGUCCUUCCACUUCCGCGCCUAUGGAGACCUGAGCGAGGGGGAGCUCGACUCCGUCUGCCAAUUCCUGCUCUGGCGCGUGAAAUCCCGGGAAAAGGCCGCCCUGCGCCAGCUCCGGGCCUGUUUCCGGGCAUUCCAGAGGUGAGGAAAACCACCCCUUCCUGGGUUUUCCUGCCCCUGUUUUCCCUGGAAUGCUGGGAAAGGGCGGGAAGUUGAUGGGGUGGGAUCAGCGUGGCAUUCCAGAGGUGAGGAAAACCACCCCUAUGUCCCUGUUUCCUGCCCUGUUUUCCUUGGAAUGCUGGGAAAGGGACGGGAAUCUGAUGAGGUGGGAUCAGCGUGGCAUUCCAGAGGUGAGGGAAAACCACCCCUUCCCGGGUUUUCCUGCUCUGAUUUCCCUGGAAUGCUGGGAAAGGGUGGGAAGCUGAUGGGGUGGGAUCAGCGUGGCAUUCCAGAGGUGAGGAAAACCACCCCCAUGUCCCUGUUUUCCUGCCCUGAUUUCCCUGGAAUGCUGGGAAAGGGUGGGAAGGUGAUGGGGUGGGUUCAGAGUGGCAUUCCAGAGCUUGGAUCCCAACCCUCCGGAGGAGGAGGAGGAGGAGAGGAGGAGCUCCAGGCUCAAGGAUCUCAUCCGGGAAUACUUCGAGUGGGAUGGACUCGGAUCCCAGGAGGAGGAGGAGGAGCUGGGAAGGGCUCAGGAUCUGCGGGACUGGGAGAGCUGGGUCCGCUCUGACAUCCGACGCUUCCUGUCCGUCCGCCCCGACGAGAAGUUCUCCGGGAGAGCCAUCGCCAGGAUAUUCCACGGGAUCAGCAGCCCCCGCUUCCCGGCACAGAUCUACGGGCGGGAUCGGCGCUUCUGGAGGAGGCACCUCCCCCUGGAUUUCCACUGGAUCGCCCGCCUGGCCACCCAGGAGAUCCUGGAUGCUGCCAGGUGAUGGGCAUUCCCGGGAAUGUCCUUCCCACACCCUCCCCCAGGAGCCUUUUUCCGGGGGCGUUUUAUCGGGAUUUUGUAAAUUAAUAAACGGAGCCUGCCAGGAACGGGA